UGGCUCAGUGGUUAAGAGCACUGACUGCUCUUCCAGAGGGCCUGGGUUCAAUUCCCAG
rnacentral:tRNA from 1 species